rnacentral:lncRNA from 1 species
GACUAUCAUGGGAGAUGAUUGGCAGUGAUCUGUAAUUGGUUCUUUGUUCUUCGCUUUUUCUUGGGAAGAAAAGGCUGGUCCUAACUGGCUGACAGUCCUGUGUUUUUCUCAAAAGAUUUGUAGGGCUGGUUCAAUUCUUUUGUUGUUGAUUAAUUUGAUGACUUGGCAGGAAGCAAAUCAUGCACGGAAAAUUGUAAACAAUAUAUCAUAAUUCCUCA